AGAUCCGAAUGAGAAGGGAAAAAUGUUAUCAAAGGCAAAGUGCAAAUACUGUAAGAAGAUGUAUGCUUACAUACAAGGGUGCACAUGAUGGAACCCGUAGAUAUGUGGAAGAAGAUGAGGAGGAUGACAUCGAGAAUAUUUCAUUUCCAAAAAGCUUUGUAGAGAGUAACUAGUAAGAUGUGAUUUUCAUCUGUUAUUACAAUAGUGUUACGAAAUACUAAUUUUUAUGUCUAUUCUCUAUUGCA